UGACCAGUUAAUCAUUUAAGAAUAUUUUGUUACAUUCCUUUAUCAAACAAUUCAUAUUAUUAUGCUUACAAAUAUAAUAGAAUAACGUUAGCGUAUAAAAAUAUUGGCACAGCGUCGCUUAUAUAUAAUAUUUUAUUUGAAUAA